CACUCAUCGUUUUGGACACAGACGCAUAUUAGUAUAAACAAACUUCACUCGCUCAUGUACCUUGAUGAAAAACGAGUGCAUAUGAGUCACUAAUGUGUUAGCCAAUAUAUUAGCUAAGGAUUCGAAGAAAAGCCGAGGUAAUGAUGCAAGGGAGGCGACAGGAGGGUCAGAGUUUAGGUGGAAGUAGCAGCGUGCAGAAGGUCCUGGUGUUGCUCUGCGGUGUAGCUCACCUCGCGCGAAUAGACCUGCUGGAGACGAUAGUGUGGUGAAAGUAGCGGUGGUUUCUAGGAUGAAGUGCCUGGUAUGAUACGGUUAUGUGCGGGAAAUGCCCUGUGUGAUACGGAUACAUGCAGGAAGUCAGUGUGAUGCGGUUACAUGCGAGAAGACGUGAUGAAAGUGGCGGCGUGGUUAGUGUGUGCUAGUGUCCCAGUCCCUCGACACCACAGAAAAGUGUCGAAGUGUUACUUACGGUGGUGCACUCAUCGCUGCGAUGGAAUGGUGAGUACAAAAAUACAGCUCUUCAACACUUCGUGGGACAUCGCGGGAGCACCUCGUCGGAAAAGAUAAGGAAGAACGCUGUUUCCUAGGCCGAUAGGAUGAUAGGAUGCUAGGGUUCCAAUCCACAUUUCCUUCCAGGAAACAACUAACAGGCUUAGCCACAUUUCCUUCCAGGAACAACUAAUUGAGCAUACAUUUUUCAGAGUAAUGUCCUUUAAAGUACCACAGUGCCAAUGAGGUGGAAAAUGAUUGCAGUGUGGGGGUGGCGGUGGCCGUGGAGGUAUUUAAGCACAGGGAAUUGCAUGAACAUUACCAAGAUUACUUAAAACCAAGGCAGCAUUU